rnacentral:rRNA from 1 species
UACGGGGGGAGCAAGCGUUGUUCGGAUUUACUGGGCGUAAAGCGCACGUAGGCGGCUUUGCAAGUUAGAGGUGAAAGCCCGGAGCUUAACUCCGGAAUUGCCUUUAAAACUGCAUCGCUAGAAUUGUGGAGAGGUGAGUGGAAUUCCGAGUGUAGAGGUGAAAUUCGUAGAUAUUCGGAAGAACACCAGUGGCGAAGGCGACUCACUGGACACAUAUUGACGCUGAGGUGCGAAAGCGUGGGGAGCAAACAGG